rnacentral:rRNA from 1 species
GGGGGCUAUACAUGCAAGUCGAGCGGACAGAAGGGAGCUUGCUCCCGGAUGUUAGCGGCGGACGGGUGAGUAACACGUGGGUAACCUGCCUGUAAGACUGGGAUAACUCCGGGAAACCGGAGCUAAUACCGGAUAGUUCCUUGAACCGCAUGGUUCAAGGAUGAAAGACGGUUUCGGCUGUCACUUGCAGAUGGACCCGCGGCGCAUUAGCUAGUUGGUGGGGUAAUGGCUCACCAAGGCGACGAUGCGUAGCCGACCUGAGAGGGUGAUCGGCCACACUGGGACUGAGACACGGCCCAGACUCCUACGGGAGGCAGCAGUAGGGAAUCUUCCGCAAUGGACGAAAGUCUGACGGAGCAACGCCGCGUGAGUGAUGAAGGUUUUCGGAUCGUAAAGCUCUGUUGUUAGGGAAGAACAAGUGCGAGAGUAACUGCUCGCACCUUGACGGUACCUAACCAGAAAGCCACGGCUAACUACGUGCCAGCAGCCGCGGUAAUACGUAGGUGGCAAGCGUUGUCCGGAAUUAUUGGGCGUAAAGGGCUCGCAGGCGGUUUCUUAAGUCUGAUGUGAAAGCCCCCGGCUCAACCGGGGAGGGUCAUUGGAAACUGGGAAACUUGAGUGCAGAAGAGGAGAGUGGAAUUCCACGUGUAGCGGUGAAAUGCGUAGAGAUGUGGAGGAACACCAGUGGCGAAGGCGACUCUCUGGUCUGUAACUGACGCUAAGGAGCGAAAGCGUGGGGAGCGAACAGGAUUAGAUACCCUGGUAGUCCACGCCGUAAACGAUGAGUGCUAAGUGUUAGGGGGUUUCCGCCCCUUAGUGCUGCAGCUAACGCAUUAAGCACUCCGCCUGGGGAGUACGGUCGCAAGACUGAAACUCAAAGGAAUUGACGGGGGCCCGCACAAGCGGUGGAGCAUGUGGUUUAAUUCAAAGCAACGCGAAGAACCUUACCAGGUCUUGACAUCCUCUGACAACCCUAGAGAUAGGGCUUUCCCUUCGGGGACAGAAUGACAGGUGGUGCAUGGUUGUCGUCAGCUCGUGUCCUGAGAUUUUGGUUAAGUCCCGCAACAAGCGCAACCCUUGAUCUUAAUUGCCAGCAUUUAUUUGGCACUCUAAGGUGACUGCCGGUGACAACCCGAAGAAAGUGGGGAUGACGUCAAUCAUCAGCCCU